CACGUAGGGCGCAAGCGUUGUCCGGAAUCAUUGGGCGUAAAGCGCGCGUAGGCGGCCCUGUAAGUCCGCUGUAAAAGUCAAAGGCUCAACCUUUGAAAGCCGGUGGAUACUGCAGGGCUAGAGUCCGGAAGAGGCGAGUGGAAUUCCUGGUGUAGCGGUGGAAUGCGCAGAUAUCAGGAGGAACACCAAUAGCGAAGGCAGCUCGCUGGGACGGUACUGACGCUAAGGCGCGAAAGCGUGGGGAGCGAACAGG
rnacentral:rRNA from 1 species